UACGGGGGGCAAGCGUUGUUCGGAAUUACUGGGCGUAAAGGCGCGUAGGCGGCCUUCUAAGUCGGACGUGAAAUCCCUCGGCUUAACCGAGGAACUGCGUCCGAUACUGAAAGGCUUGAAUCCGGGAGAGGGAUGUGGAAUUCCAGGUGUAGCGGUGAAAUGCGUAGAUAUCAGGAAGAACACCAAUGGCGAAGGCAGGCUCUCUGGGACGGUACUGGACGCUGAGACGCGAAAGCGUGGGGAGCGAACAGG
rnacentral:rRNA from 1 species